rnacentral:rRNA from 1 species
AUUGAACGCUGGCGGCAUGCCUUACACAUGCAAGUCGAACGGUAACGGGCCUUCGGGCGCCGACGAGUGGCGAACGGGUGAGUAAUACAUCGGAACGUGCCCGAUCGUGGGGGAUAACGAGGCGAAAGCUUUGCUAAUACCGCAUACGAUCUACGGAUGAAAGCAGGGGACGGCAAGGCCUUGCGCGGGCGGAGCGGCCGAUGGCAGAUUAGGUAGUUGGUGGGAUAAAAGCUUACCAAGCCGACGAUCUGUAGCUGGUCUGAGAGGAUGAUCAGCCACACUGGGACUGAGACACGGCCCAGACUCCUACGGGAGGCAGCAGUGGGGAAUUUUGGACAAUGGGCGCAAGCCUGAUCCAGCCAUGCCGCGUGCAGGAUGAAGGCCUUCGGGUUGUAAACUGCUUUUGUACGGAACGAAAAGCCUUCUUUUAAUACAGGAGGGUCAUGACGGUACCGUAAGAAUAAGCACCGGCUAACUACGUG